rnacentral:lncRNA from 1 species
CCGAUUAUUACCAUGAUUACUAGUAAAACUAUCUUGUUAGCUUAUAAGCACAUUUAUCAUUUUAUGGUAUAGAAGCAAACGUAGGAUGAUGGGAUGCAAGAUGGAACUAGAUAUCUUCAAAAUUUAGUUAUCUCAAAUAUACGGAGUGAAAUUAGUUGACAUCUCAAGGUUCCUAUUGUUUGUUUAGAUUUAACAAACUGUCUUUUCCGCACGUUUUCAAAAUAAAAUAAUCAGAAUGCAUGACACACUUCUACAACAGAACUGUUCCACAAGUCCGAAUUCAAAAAUAG